GGAAUUUCCCUAAUUAGAGAGAUGGUUGCUGAUUGGUCCGACUUAUGUAAGAGAGUCUGUGAUUGGCUGACAUUCUUAUAAAACUAAAAUGAUCAACUACGGAAAGCAGUAAUUGUUGUGGUUUGGAAUUGAAUGUUAUGAAACACCAAACUUGAAAUCUCGGAGAAUUUAGGAGGAAAUUAGGAGACGAAUUAGGGAGACAUUAGGAGGAAAUUAGGAGACUUUAGGAGGAAAUUAAGGAGACAAUUAGGGAGACAUUAGGAGGAAAUUAAGGAGACUUUAGGAGACAUUAGGAGGAAAAUAGGGAGACAUUAGGAGGAAAUUAGGGAGACAUUAGGAGGAAAUUAGGGAGACAUUAGGAGGAAAUUAAGGAGACGAAUUUGGGAGAAGCUGGGAGUAAAUCUCGGUGACUCAGUUUGGGUGGUAAUAGUUGGUGACAAUAUAUGUAGAGGGUAAAUUAUACCUAUAGUUUUAAUUAGCAAAGAGAUAUAUGUCUUGGUGACAAUCAUAACCUUUAGUAUUUAUAUACAGAUGGUUAUUUUAAAUAGAUGUUGUUGAAUUAAGCCGGCUACAUAAUUUUAUAGGUGUUCUUUUAUUGAGACCCUUUGUAAGCCUGAAUGAGCUAUAUGCUAAUGGUAGUUUUUUUUAACUAGUCGACUGAAUCUACAGAGUGGUUAUACUCUGGAUUGUUAUAUAUAUGUGUGUAUAUAUAUUUAAUUAGUUAGACCAACCAUACCAGGAACCCAACUUCCAAACCAGAAACAGCUAGAGCCUUCACAGCCAUUUUAAGAUUGUUAAAUAAAUUAUCACAACUUUUAUAUGCUUUGUCUUUUAUUUAUAAAUAAUAAUUAUAUAACAUUUUUCUAGGUUAACGAAGCUGUAAAGUGUGUUGGUUCGACGGUAUUCCAAUU
rnacentral:lncRNA from 1 species